UUGAAAUAACGGUUCCCGUACGAUCACGGAAGUUAAGCAAUGUCGUGCCUGGUCAGUACCUAGAUUGGUUACCACUUGGGAAUAUCCGGCGC